rnacentral:rRNA from 1 species
ACAGGUGAGUAACACGUGGGAACGUACCCUUUGGUUCGGAAUAACGCUGGGAAACUAGCGCUAAUACCGGAUACGCCCUUUUGGGGAAAGGCUUGCUGCCGAAGGAUCGGCCCGCGUCUGAUUAGCUAGUUGGUGGGGUAAUGGCCUACCAAGGCGACGAUCAGUAGCUGGUCUGAGAGGAUGAUCAGCCACACUGGGACUGAGACACGGCCCAGACUCCUACGGGAGGCAGCAGUGGGGAAUAUUGGACAAUGGGCGCAAGCCUGAUCCAGCCAUGCCGCGUGAGUGAUGAAGGCCUUAGGGUUGUAAAGCUCUUUUGUCCGGGACGAUAAUGACGGUACCGGAAGAAUAAGCCCCGGCUAACUUCGUGCCAGCAGCCGCGGUAAUACGAAGGGGGCUAGCGUCGCUCGGAAUCACUGGGCGUAAAGGGCGCGUAGGCGGCCAUUCAAGUCGGGGGUGAAAGCCUGUGGCUCAACCACAGAAAUGCCUUCGAUACUGUUUGGCUUGAGUAUGGUAGAGGUCGGUGGAACUGCGAGUGUAGAGGUGAAAUUCGUAGA